UCAUAACUGCUCUUAAGUCCUUUGGAUAAGAGCGUCUUUAGUCUUUACUGUCGUCUCCCAUUGGAUUUUCCAUUUUGUUUAGUGACAACAUAACCCCUUUUUUUGGUCGAACAACUAGUUUGAUUUAAUCAUAAAGCGUGCGUUACACUCCUGAUGAGUUUCAUCAACAAAUUCAAAGACAAUAAUCUGCCUGAUCCUUUGAUCAGAGACUUUACUCGUAUGCUUCUCCAAGGCUUAGCCACUAUCCACGCACACGGUUACGUUCACUGCAACCUCAAACCGGAGAACAUCCUCGUUUUCCCUAGCCACAUCAACCAACGACAACGGCACGUGCAGACCUUAUUUCGAGUUGAAGAUUUCGGAUUUCGGGUUGUCGAAAAAGGGAGGAGACAGUAGCUGGUGGGAACCUAGUCGUCCGUUUGCGGAACAUCGAUCUACAUGUCUCCGAACUCGGUUUCUUAUGGAGAGACAGGGAAAGAUCUCGACUUGUGGUCGUUGGGGUGUUGUGUACUGGGAAGGGACCUUGGUGGCAUAAGAACUAUGAAGUGAGUGAUCUCAAGAAGGGGCAAGAGCCACUGAUUCCGAGUUACCUUCCUUUGGAAGAAAAACUCUUUAUCAUGACUUGCUUUUGGCGGAGAACAACAGACGCGACAAGAUUGUUAAAGCAUAUAUAUGCAUGCGUGGAGACGAGCGGACACAGCCUUCUCCUGUGACUGUGAGUGAUAAUAUUAAGGCUAAAAUAGCUCUUCAACUGGAAAACUUUGUUAGAAGGAAUUUUUCUAAAACCCAAAGCAUUCGUGUACCUGCUGCUGCUCAACUCAUGCCCAACAAGACCAUCA
rnacentral:lncRNA from 1 species